CCCAAAUUACUGCAUUUAUUUCUAGGACCGCUAGAGGGGGCCCUUGACACAUGCCAAACCCUCCUUGGCUUUUCUCAGUCCAGUUUUCAAACACAUUUCCUCUCUGAUUCCUCAUUAGUCGAGUUCCAGGAGCGAUGAGAAGGUCGAGGUGUGAUAUUCUUGAGAUUUCUCUGUUACAGGAGUUUAUGAGCUAAGUGAUAACUGCUUGCAGCUCAGUCAUAAAUUGAAUGUUUUAGCCAAGGUACCCAGUGCUUGCAACAGGUGCGUUGCUAUUUAGAAAGCUGUGCCGCAGCCCUUUAACGGGACCUUGUUAACAAAACGGCAACCCGCUUUUCAGUUGUCCUACUUGUUUCUCAGAGCAGUACUGUUUUCUGCCUGUGCCUUCUGAAUCUCAUAUACGCCCAAAGGGAUUGCCUUAGUGUUCCUUAUAUAUUAUUUCUGACGCUAACCUGGUAUUCCUUAAUUGAAACAUCUUCACCUAUUAUGUUGCUUUUCAUUUGACCAUUUCAAAGUCAUCUCUCCAGCAAAACUGAGUCCUAAUUAAGGUCUGUUAAUUUGCUCACAGAAUGACAGGAUUACUUGCUGAUUUGUUUUCUUAUUAGAAACGUUAGAACCCCUGUAGCUUUGGAGAAAAUCUAUCUUUAGGAUUGUUCCAGAAGUCCAGUUUCUAUACUACUUAACGAACCGUGUUCAUCCCCUUGUUGAGCAGGUAUGUAGGAGCACGUGUGCAUACAGCCCUGCCUUCUGUUCCUCAGCUGGGGCUGCACGCUGGCCUGAGUCUUGUCCUGCGUGAUGCUAACUAUGACACCGCUGUGAAUGCUGGCACUGAGCACGGAUGGCCUCAUGAUGGACAGGAGUUUGAGGUACAAGUAGUUAAAUACGCAACAUGGUAUUUCGGUUCUGAGAAAGAGAGUGUCUGUCUUUCAUCUCACGUGUACAAUAAAAGCUUGGAGGAACCUCCUAGAAAGUGAAACUACUGAAGUGGUUGCCAGAGGGAUCUUUCUUGUGACCCUUUGUUUUCUUUUUCCUGUGGACAUGCUCCUGGGGUGUCUAACCUCUACCUUUAGCUGACUACAAGAAAGAGACGUUUGAUUUCAGGUAGUUACCUUGAUCCCUUGGGGCAGAGGCAUGAGGAUUAGCCUUUCAGAGACUGUGCCUUUGCUGUGUAUUCAUUUAUACAGGCUAACCUCGUGUAUGUGACUUAAUAGUUAUUAAUUACCUACUAAGUACCAGACAGGCCCUUUGAUCAUCUCACUUAAGGACGGAGGUGGGCGGUGAUAACCCCAACCUCCAGAAGAGGAAAUUGAGCUUCCAUGAGGAUGAAGUAACUUGCUUAAAAAUUCCAGUUAGAAAGGGUGGAGCUGAGAAUAGAAUCUUGGUCUCUCUGGGGUCCACCAGACCUCCCGGGCUUCUUUUUUAAAACUCAGAAUGUCUGACUGGCUCAGUCAGUAGAGCAUGUGACUCUUGAUCUCAGGGUCGUGAGUUCAAACCCCGCCCCUAUGUUGGGCGUGGAGCCUACUUCAAAACAACUCAGAACGAAGUUGGUGUCCAUACUGGCGGCUCCACCAGCCAUACUCCAGAGUGAGAGGCACCUCUGAACCAGUCGGCUUCAGAGCUGUCUACAAACCCCGGGAGUAUUUGUGGAGCUUUGUUCUUUCCUGCAGCCUCCCCCCUUCCAUCCCACUCUACCCCUCCAUCCCCCAGAUGCCAGGCUGCAAAAGCAGAAGGCUUUGUUCUAACAAGAUCCUGGGCUAUGCAGGCUCUUUCAGAUGGUACCCAAGAAGGGGUUGCAAAUCCAAAACCAGGAGCCCCCUUCUUCCUGUCACUCUGCGUGACUCACAUGUGCCUUUGCAGAGUGGAGUGCUGGUUGAGGGCUUUUGAUUCUGGAAUUCUCUAACAUUAAUCUUCAGCUCCUCUCACCUUCCCCAACCCUAUCCUCUGCUCCCAGUUUUAAAAAAGCCUGAGCACCUGCCACUACCCCACACCCCUUCCCUGACUGUGCUGCUUAGAGCUCAGCCUUCCUGGAAGGGAGCCUGGGUUCAGUUAAGUUCUCAUUCAUCUUCCAGUUCAGAAGAGCAAGCCUGUGUUACUGACCCCCCACCCAGUGCCACACAGUCCCUAUUCUCUUUUGGUCCUCAAAUCCAUUUAAUUAUUCCCCACUGGGGAUGCCUGGGUGGCUCAUUUGGUUAAGCAUCUGUCUCUGGCUCAGGUCAUGGUCUCUGGGUCCUGGGAUCGAGCCCCCCAUUGGGCUUCCUGCUCAGUGGGGAGUCUGCUUCUCCCUCUCCCUCUGCUCCUCCCCCUGCUUGUGUUCUCCCUGUCUCUCUCUGUCUCUCAAAUGAAUAGAUAAAAUCUUUAAGAAAAACUAUUCCUCACUUUGUAGUUUGUAGAUGUAGGUAGGUUUUUAAGCAGAAACUUGAGACAUUUGAGGUAGAGAAGGGUAUGGAAGUUGAUAGAACUAAGAAUAGUUCCAGGUCACCAAGCUGUCAAACACAGUAGUACAGAGGAGGAGUGGGUGACAACUUUAUUCCAUGAGGCCGAAGGCUCUGGGGUCUUAGGAGGUCACAUCCCCUUUUUGGGACCUCUACAGUCUAUUCUUGCUCCAACAGACUGAAUCUAAAGCAGGGGCAAGGACAGCUCUCAUCACCUGAAUCAAACCCGUCCUCUAGCCCCAUACUUUUUUUCUCCCCACUGUGACUUAAAAAACAAAAACCUUCGUCUUCUUUUAUUUACCUUUAAGUGAAAUCUCUUUAAGACUCUUCACCCUGUAAGUACCAUGAGGCCUGAGACCCUGUCUGUCUGUUUUUUGUUUUGGUCAUUCUUAUCCAGUGUUUGUUGAAUGAAUGAUUGAUAACGUAGCUGGCACUUACUGAGCGCUUACUAUAUGCCGGGCUCUAUGCCGAGUGAUUUAUAUUCAUUAUGGCAGAUGUGCAUUAUAACCUUGGGAAACUGCUGUCCCUGUUUUCCAAAGAAAGUGACUGAGCCUCAGAGAGGCCAUUUGCCCACCCACGACCAUGCAGCUCUCGGUGGUGGCAGCAGGGCCCCAGCAGGCAUGUCCUCCUCUCAGGUCCACAGCGUCACAGUACCUCCCUGUCAGUAAGCCUUCCACCUGCCAGUGGGCCGUUUCCUGUCACACACCACACUGCCCCUCAGUGACUUCUCCCACAGACUCUAUUUCUAUCUUCACCAUCGUUCUCUCUGAUGAGGUUCUCCCCAUAGAGAAGGCGUGGGUGUUCGAGAGAAGCUGUGCCCUGUGGGGUGUACUCUGCCCCACCCUAGGGGUAAACCUGGUGGCUAGGGAAGAAUCUAGAAUAAUUUCGCUGAAACUUCGUCUAGACAGGUUUGCAGGACCCCAUAUACCAGCUUAUUAGCAUACUGGAGCGGUUCUGGUCUGAACUGUUAGCUCGUCAUCAGCUGCACUUGUGAUGGUUGUUGAAGAUGCUGUUUCUACAGCCUUUGCCCUCGGAGAUCCUGAAUCAGCAGGUCUGCAGCAGGGAGCUCAACUGGCCUCAAAGGUCAGACCUGUUGAAACCUUUGACCUGAACCUGAGGUCUGAAUCUGGGAGAUGUCCUUCCUGAGGCAUCUAUACAACGGAAAGCACCACAUUUUUUUUUUUGUUUUAUUUUUAUCCAAAACAGGAAAUGAAACUUACAUCUGUACUAAGGUAAACCGUGUGCAGCCCUCUGGUUGUGGGAGCUGGGGGUCCCUGAAACUGGCAGAACUUUACACAGAAAGGCCUCCAAGCUAGAGGGCUGGGACAGCAGAGCCAAUAAACCAGUGUCGUCUCCACCCUGACCCCCCAUGGUGUAUGCCACCUCCCCCGUUUUACUUGGGGGCCUUAAGUGAAUUCCUGUCUUGAGGGGAGAGUCGGUUUAAACUCACCAGCUUGACUCAUAAGCCUCCUUAAUAGAAGGGACCUGGAAGUUCCAGCUGAGGGCCGUGUCUGCUGGCAGUUUGAGGGUGGGAUUUGGGGGAUCAUCGCAGGCCUGGUGUUACAGUACAUGAGCUGGAGGACCUCACAGUUCCCCGCCAUCCUGAUACCUCCCGUGUACACCAGAGGUUCUGAGGGAACUCUGUUGGAAGCUGAGAGCCAGGACCCAGGAUGAGUGGGACCAGCUCAGUGGUCGUCUCUUGCUCAGCCAGUGUGAGUCUGGCCACCAAGAAACCCCCCCAUGACUCGUGUCCAGGAGCCAGAAUCCAGCCCUGAAAUUGCCUGACCUCUGAAUCCACACCAGGACCUCAUUCUGACUCAGCUUCCUGUCCAGAGGGCUGCCCAUCUCCUGCUGCCCUCAUUCCUGGACCCAUCAUACAUACUUGUUCCACCUCCUCCAAAACCCUCUUUUAUCACUAAGCCCUCCAGAAACUUCAGCCUCAAUCACAACACCUGAAAUACCUUUUACCUACUGACGAUUUCCUCUGAGAUCUCUCAUCCUUGAAACCCUUUUGAUGGAGACCACAUCUUCUCCCCUACCUCUUCUCCCAGGUGGAGGAGGAGGGGCCACUGAACCCCUGGCCUCAGCCCUGUCACUCAGCAAUCACUCCUCGUACUCAGGACGCAUGUGCCCUCUGCCUUCAGCUCAGCCUUCCUCUCCAUCCUGCCCCUGUUGUCAUCCAUGGGGGCUUUGACCUCUUCCCAGUGUCCACCCUCAGGAGUCCUCCCACCCCAACUCUGGCCUUGUUCCAACACAUGAGAUCUGUGUUGAAAAGCUGGAAGCAAGAUUCUCAUAUGCAGUAAAGAAACAUGUAUGAGAAAUUUAUUUGUCUCAUUGGUGAGGGAACCAGUCUUCUAUAUGUCAAUCAAACGGUAACAUUUGGGGUAUCUUUCUAGCCCGUGGAGUCAUUUCCAACUUCCCAAUCGAUUUCUUUGUAAACUAACAUCCAAGUUUACAAAGUCUGGGCCCUAAUCAGUAGAAAAUAGUGGGUGACCGUCCCUUAGAGAGUCCGAUGACCCUGAGGGCUCGUGGGACAGCGCUCUAGUGUGGCACAGCAGCCAGUGCAUUUGUUGCCUUAUUUCUAAGUAGCAGAUGCAUUUUCUAAAUGUGAAGCUUCUCUGAAUACCUACUCCCGUCCUCAGAAGCAUGACCUUGAGGAACGUAGCUCCUGGACUCUCAGGAUUACCAAAGAGGAGUAACACAAAGUCACUGUGGUCAAGCCCAGUUGCGUCCGUGUUGGGGAGGUGGGAAGGGAGGGGAGUGGGAGUCAGGACUUGCACCAGAGAGAACGAAUGGAUAGAUUUGGGGGAUGACAGGAUUUACUCAACAAGCAUUUGGUAAGGACCUGGCAUAUAGAAACCUAUAAGCUAGGCGCUAUGAAGAAACAUUUUACAGAUGAGGAAACUGAAGCUUAGGUUAGAAAUAAGCCCCAAGUCACCAGGUUAGUAGCUGGUGAAGCUCAGAGCUAAUCCAUGCCUGGGUCUCCUCAGCCAUAAGUGUGUGGGCGGUAGCGGUGACUUCCUCUGUGCGUGUUGCGUUCUGGGUGGGAGGUAGGAGGUGACUUCCUUUAGCAGCAGGUGCAGGGCCAGGCCUGGUGCGGCCUUACAUGUCUAAACAAAGCCAACUGCAGGAUUCCACACGGCCCCGCUGCAGGGCCCUCAUUCCUGUCCCUCUUCAGCACCAGCCGCCUAAGACCUCUGGGAAUGAGCUCAGAGGGCGGGGGCCACAGGGAUGACUGCAGCUGGCACUGCCUUUGACAGAUUCGUCCUCCGACUUCAGCAUUGUUCCCAGGCAGGAUGGGUCUCUGCCAUCGUGCGCACGUCGUGACAGGAGGAGGAGGAGGCAGCCGGGGCUCUGGGGGUCUCCCUUGUGGCCAGUCACCCUACACAAGGACACCAGAGGGGGAUGUGAAGGGAAGAGAGAAAGAACUGGAAAAGGACUCUGACACAUCAGCCACCUCACUCACCAUUGCCCAGGAAUCCGUGCACACUCUUAUCUUGGGCUGCUUCUGUAUCGACACAGAGUGGAUGACCACAUAUACCCCUCGAAGCUCCCCCCACGGGGAGGAUUUCCUCUCGCCACUCUCACAGUGCUGCCUCUGAGUGGAGCGCAUACAGUGGCAGCUCAUUUUUGGCUCCAUAUACCAAAUGACCCACCUGUGAGGCCUUUUCCUCCUGUGUUGGCUGGUCAUAAAGGACCUUUCCCUGGGACCACAGAUACGAGGGCUGAGGGAGACACACUGGCACAACAGUGACGGACGACAGCGAUUCUUUGAAUUGCUUGUUUCAUUUGAUAUAAGAAUGAAAGCUCAAGGGUUCCUAUUUCUUAAGAGCCCUAAAUGUGCACGUGGACUUCUUACUGAAACAGUGUUAGUUACCUGGAAUAUAGGCUGUAUUUAUGUAAUGUUUAGAAUGACAUGUUAAUAAAGUAAUCUGUUAAAAUGGGGAAAAACAGCAGUUCUCAAUUUUUGUUUGCUCUUAGGACACUUUUACACUCUUAAAAAUUUUGAAGAUAUCUCAAGAACUUUUGUUUAUGUAUUCAUUGAUUGACUGAUUGUAAUCUCUACACCCAACAAACUCACAACCCUGAGAUCAAGAGUCACAUGCUCUUCCGACUGAGCCAGCCAGGCGCCUCAUGGGUUAUAUUUAUUGAUAUUUACCACAUUAGGUAUUAAAAGUGAGAACAUUAAAAUAAUAUUUAUUUAUUUUAAAAAACAAAUAAGCCUAUUAUAUGUUAACACAAAUAACUAUAUUUUCCACACACAAAAAAAUUAGUGAGAAGAAUGGUAUUGUUUUAUAUUUUUCAGAUCUUUUUAAUGUUUGGCUUAACAGAACACACGUGAAUUCACCUGUCUGCUUCUGCAUUCCAUCUCUUGCUAGAUGUUGUUUGGUGUGAAGAAUGUAAAGAAAGUUUAAUCUCAUGCAGAUAUUUAGUUGUAAAGUCACUGUUAAAGGUUACAGAGACCCCUGGGGUUCUCUGGCCACUUAUUUGAGAACCAAUUGUAUACGGCAGAAAAAGCUAUCAAAGAUCUAUCUCACAUGUAUAUAGCAAGCUUGAGGAUCACAUGAUUUCCCAGGGGAAUUCUUGGAAUCCUUCAAGACCAGAUAAUCCUAAGGUUAGAAAAAGAAAGAAAAUUCCCUCUUUUUAUGAAGUAAGUAUAACAUUGAUACCUAAAUGCAAUAAACACAAAAAAACCCCAGAGGUACCUGGUUGACUCGGCCAGUAGAGUAGGUGAUUCUUGAUCUUAGAAUUCAAGCCUCAUGUUGGGGGUAGAAAUUACUUAAACAAAACAACAACAAAAAAAAAAAAAAGAAAGAAAGAAAGAAAGAAAGAAAGAAA